UUGGUCUCUUUAUCAACUACAAAGUUUGAGAAGAUAAAAACAGAGCUUGGGUGUCUUAGCAUCGCUUCAGCUGCAGCUAAGUUUUGGUUACAAAUCUUCAUCCUGUCGACUACACCUUCCCAUACCCAUCCAAUCGUUGCGCUAACAAACGCCAGCUGCUCUUCAACAGCAUUGCCCCUUCCCGUUUUUUUUUGUUUUGCACAGUUGAAUGAUUUGUUGAGUUUGGGUCAGCUUCGUAUCUGGAACCUUAUGGCCGUAUCUUCGACUGGGUAAUUAACGCAUUGGAGCCAACUUUUUCAGACAAGAGAAAUGCUAAACCCCCACUUCCACAACACAGGUGAGUAAUCUUGAUUUCUCAAAGGAGCAGCUGUUUAUGGCUUCGUCCCGGCAACAUUUGCUUGCAAAGGCUUACUGCAAGAGCAUCGAGUGAGCAUUGGUGGGUUGAGGGCGAGGCAACUGAUUUGCCCUUCCAAGAUUGUUACUUUGAUGCUAUUCCCAUAGGAUAUGGGUUUCGAAAAUGUGGUGGAUUAGCGGAAGGCCUUGCAGGAGAUGUUUAGAGUACUGAGACCAGGUCCUAUCUUCUUCCCUCUUAUUUGAAUUAACAAAUCGUGACAUUUCUCACCCUUGUGUUGAUAUACAAGUUCUAAAGCAUCAGUCCUUGAUUUUAAUUGCAAAAUGAAGAGUGCUUUUCUGUCUUUUUUUUUUCUCUCCAUGUUUGUCGAUAUAAUGUGCUUGGACUCAGAGGAAUGAAAUCCGAUCCUUAGCAACGAAUGCUUUUGCAUUAAUAAUUGUCCUUUUAUCUAUGAUGAUUGAUAACUGUAGGCGGAAGAACUUGCUCUGGAAAUAGGAUUUUGUACUGCCAAACACUAUGAGAUUAGUGGGGGCCUAAUGGGGAAUGUAGUAGCCACGCGCUAGAUGAGGUUGGUUCUCAGUUUUUAACAGCAUGUUUUCAAAGUUUUUGUUUGGGAAGGACAUAUUAUAUAUAGGGGUGGAUGAUUUUUAUGUUUAGAAUGUUUACUGCAACUCAGGCAUUACAAAUGAUAAGCUAAAAGCCACCAACAAUCUGGCUCCAUGGAUGAUGAAUUUCCGUUGUAUUAUUUUUCGACGGGAGCUUCCUGCCCAAGAGCAUCCUUGAUGGAAGAGGAAAUGCAUGUCAACCCCUCAAUCAAGAAGUUUGUAUUCUUACAUGAUUUUUAUUUUCAAAAAGAUCUUAAAACUUGUAAUUCUAGUUUCCUCAGCUAGAUUUGUUUAUUUAAUCCUACAAAAUUUUCUAAA